rnacentral:rRNA from 1 species
UAAGCAACUAUACUGUGAAACUGCGAAUGGCUCAUUAAAUCAGUUAUCGUUUAUUUGAUAGUACCUUUACCUGGAUAACCGUGGUAAUUCUAGAGCUAAUACAUGCUAAAAACCUCGACUUCGGAAGGGGUGUAUUUAUUAGAUAAAAAACCAAUGCCCUUCGGGGCUCCUUGGUGAAUCAUAAUAACUUAACGAAUCGCAUGGCCUUGCGCCGGCGAUGGUUCAUUCAAAUUUCUGCCCUAUCAACUUUCGAUGGUAAGAUAGAGGCUUACCAUGGUCUUAACGGGUAACGGGGAAUUAGGGUUCUAUUCCGGAGAGGGAGCCUGAGAAACGGCUACCACAUCCAAGGAAGGCAGCAGGCGCGCAAAUUACCCAAUCCCGACACGGGGAGGUAGUGACAAUAAAUACUGAUACGGGGCUCUUUUGGGUCUCGUAAUUGGAAUGAGUACAAUCUAAAUCCCUUAACGAGGAACAAUUGGAGGGCAAGUCUGGUGCCAGCAGCCGCGGUAAUUCCAGCUCCAAUAGCGUAUAUUAAAGUUGUUGCCGUUAAAAAGCUCGUAGUUGAACCUUGGGCCUGGCUGACCUGUCCUCCUAAUCGAGCGCACGGGUUCGGUCGGGCCUUUCCUUCUAGGGAACCCCAUGCCCUUCACUGGGUGUGGUGGGGAACUAGGACUUUUACCUUGAAAAAAUUAGAGUGUUCAAAGCAGGCCUUUGCUCGAAUACAUUAGCAUGGA